AAGAUGACGCAAUCUCACUAAUUCGAGCCAGGCUUGCAGUCAACAUAAUUGCGCGAACACGCCUUUCUUAAGCAGCACUAGAGGCCGAACAUGGAUCUAAUCGAUCAGUAAAGAGAGAGCAGCUCCUGCUCUUAGAAUCGUACGAAGAACUGAAAGAUUGAAUUAACGUUACACUGCUGCAGUAAAUAAAAUAAGAGAGAAAGGCUGGCAAAUAAUUGCUGAUCGACUGAAUGCCAAUUAACUUCAGUGGGGAGAAAAGAACGUGGCAGCAGGUGAAAAUUAAAUAUAAAAAUAUUAUUCAGAAUGCUGCCAAAAAGAAGAGUGAUGUAGCGAGAUGGUCCUCACUGCAGAACACAAGAUCCAGAUCCAACUCCUCCCACCUUACAUAUACCUAAACCUACCCGUCUCCACCCCCUG
rnacentral:lncRNA from 1 species